CACGCAAAAAAAUUUUUUUAAUUUUUAAACAAUAAAAAACAAUUGUUUUGUAGUGGCAACUCGUCAGAGGAGAAAGCCCCGCGAGCCGCCGCUGAUUUAAAAAUUAAACAUUAAGAAAAACAUGUAUUUUUCAAUUCCGCUUCAUAAUUAUGCCAUAUUUUGUGCGGACACACACACAGGCACAACCGCUGAGAUCCCCCACCCCAUGUCAGUUUCAUCACCGUGUAUAAUGCAGGAUAACCAAAAGGCGCGAAAAGGGUUCAUGUAUUUGAGCUUGGGAUGUUGCCGAUCCAAAUCAUAUUGAGAUUGUGGAGGACAUGGUUUACCAACCAUUGGGAUGUGUUGGGAACACAUAAUCACGACAUAAAUAGCCUAAUUAUGUGUAUCGAACCAUUCACAUUUAAUUUCCCAUUUCCCCACGAUCUACAAUGCGAUUUCUUUGGAAACUUUGAGGACUACAGAUAUGAUAUUGCAUAUAGUCCAUUCAGACGCCAACCGCAUUGCAUUAUAACCCUCUAUUAUACAACUCCAGAGAGUAAUGUCUUUACGAAAUGUUGGUUUUAAAUUCAUACACGAUACGCGAGUUCGUAAAAUGGAUCAUGAGGAUUUUGAAGUGGCAUACUUGCAAAAUGUUAUUGAAGAUGAAAAUCGGUGGUGUCAAUAUUGCGUCCGAAAAACGGUUUUUCGUUUUAUUCGAACAGAAAGAAAUGUGUGCUAAAAAUUAAGCGAAAACAAAAACGAUCAGUUUAUUUUUUAU